UACGUAGGGUGCGAGCGUUAAUCGGAAUUACUGGGCGUAAAGCGUGCGCAGGCGGUUUUGUAAGCCAGGUGUGAAAUCCCCGGGCUUAACCUGGGAAUGGCAUUUGGGACUGCAAGGCUCGAGUGCGGCAGAGGAGACUGGAAUUCCUGGUGUAGCAGUGAAAUGCGUAGAUAUCCGGAGGAACACCGGUGGCGAAGGCGGCUUCCUGGACCGACACUGACGCUGAGGCGCGAAAGCUAGGGGAGCAAACGGG
rnacentral:rRNA from 1 species